UUGGGGGACCUGUUCGGUGCGAUGGUAGCGGGGCACCGGAAACGGCUGCGGUUGCGGAAGUGCGCCUCUAUCUUUCCGAUGUGACACGGUGUGGCGCCACCUCCGGCCUGGUGCGCAUCCGUGUAAACGGUGGUGUAUCGUUUUUCCCUCCGAUUUCGACUCGAUUUGAUUCGCUCGUGUCGUAUUCAUGUAAAUACGGCUAGUGAGAACCCACGUAGGCUCCAUGUGUGCGUCCUGUUGAGCAUAGUAGACGGAUAUACGCAGCUAGGCUGGUGUGCGUGAAAGCAGACCGCGGGUGGAAGCGACUUCGCGGCGAGAUCACGUGAUAGAGCCGAGUCACGUGGGGCUCCCGUGAUGGAGUGUAAAAGGUGUGCCCCUUCGUACACUUCUCUCAUUCCCACUGUUACUCCUCUUUCAUACCGCACACGGUGAUCGCCAGGAGCCUUAUGUCUGGGCAGAUGCAGUGUAAUGUCUAUCUCUACAACCGAGACUUGGAUAAAAAUGCGGGAGAUCCUCUGCGCCGCACAGCGGCUUGGGUUCAGCACAAGAUACCGUCCCCUUCGAAGUCGAGGCCGAUUCAGCACUGGGAGGUCUACUUUGUUUUUCCUGACAAGACAGUUGUACGGUGUGAUGGAGAGGAAGACCCUACCACUCACAAACUGCGUGGGGAUGCAAAGGUGAUAGAUUACAGCGACGUGGAGCCUUUCCUCAAAUACAUGAAACUACUGAAGUCUGGUGCCUCUACCUCGAAAGAAGCUAUCAGAGAAACGGUGGACGUCAUGAACCUGAAUUGCAAGAAGUAUGACGCUGUCUCCAACAACUGCCAGCACUGGGUCAAAACGCUGCUCGGAAAGCUGAAUAUACCAGUGUAUUACUUUGAUCUAAAACAAUGUGUUUCCUUUGUGGUUGCCGUAGGUAAAACCGCCACAGUUGCAGCUGUAGCCCUCCUUGGAGCUGCAGCUGCGGGUCCUUCGGCGGCUGUGGUAUCUGCAACUGCAGCAACAGCCUUUCUUUUUUAUCGUAAAUAAUAACAAUAAAGACGUUCAGUGCUUGC